CCGAGAGCCGUCGUCUCAGGGAAAUCUAACUUCCUGCCGGUUCUAGGGCAACGAAACCACGCGCAUUUCGCAUCUCGGAACGCGAAAAGGAAGUUAUUUUUUUGCCUGAACGGCUAUGAUGUAUGGGCCAGAAAUCUAGCCCAUUUGUCUUAGAAUGUUAUUGAGCUUGAGGCUCAAAUAAGAAUAAUGGUUAGGGCACAGAGCCACAGAUCAAACUUAGGAGGGAAAAUUCAAUACACUAUUAGAGAUUGUUCUUCAGGCCUUGUAGCUCCUGAAAAUCCCCAACAAUGGCGAAAUUGGUGUGAGAAACAUAAAUGAUGGGAGCUAUACAGCUGUUUCCGUGUUCAUCGAUUCUCGUCAAUUGUGUUUCGUCCUCAUCGUAAUGUGAAUGUGAUUGUCGGAGAUAUCAAUUCGAGCGGGAGUUCGAAAGAGAAGACGAAGACAACGACGACGACGAAGAAGAAGGAGGAGCUUGAGAUUAGAAGAGCGGAAGCGGAAACGGUGGUGAAGAAGGAGAAGGGAAGGACACGUCGAGCAGAGUGUACGGCGCUGGCUGGCAAUGGCGAAUCUCUGUCUUCGCACGUGCCGAUAAUGCCCGGCGAAAUUGUCAACGUUUUCUCUUCGAUUCUCUUGCGUGGUUUCGUUACUCUUCCGCUGUGGGCUUCGAUUGCAAAGGAUAUUUGUCACUGUAACGUUCAGGUGAGUUGGUGCCCUGACGGAAGAGAUCUAGACAUCGUGCCAUCAAGCUCUAGGGAUAACACUAUUCUGGGUGGGUCAUGGACAAGGCUUGAUUGGUGGCAAUUCCCAGAUCAAUGCAUGAGGCAUUUUUGGGAUGUGCCAAUUUGCCCCCGGAGAAGUUACUCAUAGGAGGAAUGAGUAAACAAGCCAUCGCAAAGACUUAGUAGAAGGCGUAAACACGCCAUGAAGAAUGGCUGAGACGAGGGGAUGAUAACAUUGUGGAGAAUCUGGGAGGCGAUGCUGAUGAAAAUGAAUAUUAUGCAGUGGUUCUCUGCCAUCACUGCCCCAAAGCUUCAUAGAGAUACAACUAUUCUUGAGGCUGAGGUUAUGAAUGUGCAAGUCGCUGUACCCCAAUUUUGGCGAGGUUGCCUCUGCACUGUCACUGAAUAAUCUUACAUCCAGAAGACAGAAAGCUAAUUGAAGCUGCAGUGAUAUCUAUAUGUUAAGAGUAGGAGAUCAAUAUGAGGCAUUUAUUGGUAACAAUUCUGUGAAAAGCAAGAAGAGGGAUGAACGAAUGCCUCCGAGAGAAGAGGCAGAGUGGAUUGAAUGAGUGACAAUCCUUCUUACCACGGUUUUAGAUUUGCUCGGAGAGUCACUCAAGCAAGAGAACAGGUAAGUUCCAUAUAUUCUCAUGCCUUUGUGCCUGAAACUUAUAAUAUUUGAUCUCUUUUACCUAAAACAAUAACGCAGUGUUUAAACCUCGAACGUAAGAGAAUAGACAUGGGUCCUGUGUAUUUUGUCCUAGAAUCAAUGGCCUUAGGUAUAUUUUGAUCUGUGUCGGCUAUAUGCAAUCAUGUUUGGAA